rnacentral:rRNA from 1 species
CCUACGGGAGGCAGCAGUGGGGAAUUUUGGACAAUGGACGCAAGUCUGAUCCAGCAAUGCCGCGUGCAGGACGAAGGCCUUCGGGUUGUAAACUGCUUUUGUACGGAACGAAACGGUCUUCUUUAAUACAGAGGGCUAAUGACGGUACCGUAAGAAUAAGCACCGGCUAACUACGUGCCAGCAGCCGCGGUAAUACGUAGGGUGCGAGCGUUAAUCGGAAUUACUGGGCGUAAAGCGUGCGCAGGCGGUUAUAUAAGUCAGAUGUGAAAUCCCCGGGCUCAACCUGGGACCUGCAUUUGAGACUGUAUAGCUAGAGUACGGUAGAGGGGGAUGGAAUUCCGCGUGUAGCAGUGAAAUGCGUAGAUAUGCGGAGGAACACCGAUGGCGAAGGCAAUCCCCUGGACCUGUACUGACGCUCAUGCACGAAAGCGUGGGGAGCAAACAGGAUUAGAUACCCUGGUAGUCCACGCCCUAAACGAUGUCAACUGGUUGUUGGGUCUUCACUGACUCAGUAACGAAGCUAACGCGUGAAGUUGACCGCCUGGGGAGACGCGCGAGUAGAAUAAUAGAGUGAGNGNGAGAGNGCGAGACGACGACGAGGGAGGAGG